GAUGAACGCUGGCGGCGUGCCUAAUACAUGCAAGUCGAUCGAACGGACGAGAAGCUUGCUUUUCUGAUGUUAGCGGCGGACGGGUGAGUAACACGUGGAUAACCUACCUAUAAGACUGGGAUAACUUCGGGAAACCGGAGCUAAUACCGGAUAAUAUUUUGAACCGCAUGGUUCAAAAGUGAAAGACGGUCUUGCUGUCACUUAUAGAUGGAUCCGCGCUGCAUUAGCUAGUUGGUAAGGUAACGGCUUACCAAGGCAACGAUGCAUAGCCGACCUGAGAGGGUGAUCGGCCACACUGGAACUGAGACACGGUCCAGACUCCUACGGGAGGCAGCAGUAGGGAAUCUUCCGCAAUGGGCGAAAGCCUGACGGAGCAACGCCGCGUGAGUGAUGAAGGUCUUCGGAUCGUAAAACUCUGUUAUUAGGGAAGAACAUAUGUGUAAGUAACUGUGCACAUCUUGACGGUACCUAAUCAGAAAGCCACGGCUAACUACGUG
rnacentral:rRNA from 1 species